rnacentral:rRNA from 1 species
UUCCGGUUGAUCCCGCCGGACCUGACUGCUAUCGGAUUGAUACUAAGCCAUGCGAGUCAUUGUAGCAAUACAAGGCAUACGGCUCAGUAACGCGUAGUCAACCUAACCUAUGGACGGAAAUAACCUCGGGAAACUGAGAAUAAUGUCCGAUAGAACACUAUACCUGGAAUGGUUUGUGUUCCAAAUGAUUUAUCGCCGUAGGAUGGGACUGCGGCCUAUCAGUUUGUUGGUGAGGUAAUGGCCCACCAAGACUAUUACAGGUACGGGCUCUGAGAGGAGUAGCCCGGAGAUGGGUACUGAGACACGGACCCAGGCCCUAUGGGGCGCAGCAGGCGAGAAAACUUUGCAAUGUGCGAAAGCACGACAAGGUUAAUCCGAGUGAUUUGUGCUAAACGAAUCUUUUGUUAGUCAUAGAACCACUAACGAAUAAGGGGUGGGCAAGUUCUGGUGUCAGCCGCCGCGGUAAAACCAGCACCUCAAGUGGUCAGGAUGAUUAUUGGGCCUAAAGCAUCCGUAGCCGGCUCUGUAAGUUUUCGGUUAAAUCUGUACGCUCAACGUACAGGCUGCCGGGAAUACUGCAGAGCUAGGGAGUGGGAGAGGUAGACGGUACUCGGAAGGAAGGGGUAAAAUCCUUUGAUCUUUUGAUGACCACCUGUGGCGAAGGCGGUCUACCAGAACACGUCCGACGGUGAGGGAUGAAAGCUGGGGGAGCAAACCGGAUUAGAUACCCGGGUAGUCCCAGCUGUAAACUAUGCAAACUCAGUGAUGCAUUGACUUAUGGUCAAUGCAGUGCUGCAGGGAAGCCGUUAAGUUUGCCGCCUGGGAAGUACGUACGCAAGUAUGAAACUUAAAGGAAUUGGCGGGGGAGCACCACAAGGGGUGAAGCCUGCGGUUCAAUUGGAUUCAACGCCGGA